GGAGUUUCCUAUUGGGCCAGUUGGCUUUGUCUUUGACCACCGGGUGCUGGAUCUUACUACCUUAUGGGAGAGAGACAUGUAACUCUAAAGAAACAGCUGGAAGAGAAGAUUUCCAAGGGACUCCUUUGGAGCAAGAGAGGAAGACAGAUGAUUUCUACAUAGAAAGCCUGAGAAGGCCUCUCAGAGAUGGCUUCCUUGCCCUCCCCAGAUGUUCACAGGGUUAACUUAAAAAUGAAGCAUCAUGGAGCUGGCAAAUCAGCUCUGCAUCCCAAAGACAGUGCGACAUGUGAUAAUGACUGUGAAGCGCAGCUAAGCCCGUUAGCAGGAACGACCAGGGAGUGAGAGGCAGCGCUGGAGCGUCACCCUCCAACAUCGUCUCUUUGUUUGAGGAUCAUUAGGAAAGGAGACAUUAGGAAAAUGCUAGCCUGGUAAUAGGAGGGAAAUGGAUCUUGGCAGGGCUGUGUCACCCAGUGAGAAAUUAGCAAAUAACAUUCAGGGAAGAAAGCAGGGGCUUCUGUGCUAACCCAAUGAGGCUCUUGGGGAAUAAUGACACAUGGUUACCACCUGAGGAACCCCUGCUGAGGCAGCUGACUUGCCCAAUGGUCUACUACAGGCUCAGGUGAGUAGGAGGGUCCUUCCUAGGAGGGGCAGUGAUGCUCAGGCAGGGCUGGGACGCUCAGGCUCCUUGCAAGAGCUGAACCUCAAGUCUGAACCACUCCG
rnacentral:antisense_RNA from 1 species